rnacentral:rRNA from 1 species
AGUCGAACGGCAGCACGGGUGCUUGCACCUGGUGGCGAGUGGCGAACGGGUGAGUAAUGCAUCGGAACGUAUCCAAUAAUGGGGGAUAACGCAUCGAAAGGUGUGCUAAUACCGCAUACGCCCUGAGGGGGAAAGCUGGGGAUCUUCGGACCUAGCGUUAAUGGAGCGGCCGAUGCCUGAUUAGCUAGUUGGUGAGGUAAAGGCUCACCAAGGCGACGAUCAGUAGCUGGUCUGAGAGGACGACCAGCCACACUGGGACUGAGACACGGCCCAGACUCCUACGGGAGGCAGCAGUGGGGAAUUUUGGACAAUGGGGGCAACCCUGAUCCAGCCAUGCCGCGUGAGUGAAGAAGGCCUUCGGGUUGUAAAGCUCUUUCGCAAGGGAAGAAAAAGCAGGCUCUAACAUAGCCUGUUCAUGACGGUACCUUGAUAAGAAGCACCGGCUAACUACGUGCCAGCAGCCGCGGUAAUACGUAGGGUGCGAGCGUUAAUCGGAAUUACUGGGCGUAAAGCGUGCGCAGGCGGUUUUUUAAGACAGACGUGAAAGCCCCGGGCUUAACCUGGGAACGGCGUUUGUGACUGGAAGACUAGAGUAUGGCAGAGGGGGGUAGAAUUCCACGUGUAGCAGUGAAAUGCGUAGAGAUGUGGAGGAAUACCGAUGGCGAAGGCAGCCCCCUGGGUCAAUACUGACGCUCAUGCACGAAAGCGUGGGGAGCAAACAGGAUUAGAUACCC